UGAGCUCUGCCAUUGAAGAAAAGCUCUCCUUUUCGAUUCUUGAAGAAUAACCAAAGAAAAAUAUUCAUAAAUGUUCUUGAUCUCAAUUAUAUUAAAAAAAUCUAUUGGUUUGAUAUUAUCCAGAUGUAAAAUCUCACUCGGUCUCUGAGUUCAGCUUGAGUAAAAGGCUAAUAAUUUUGAUAUCAUCGUGGUAAAAAUUUC
rnacentral:lncRNA from 1 species